rnacentral:pre_miRNA from 1 species
UCUUACGGACGAGCAAAGAAAAGUGGUUUCUUGAAAUGGAAACUACUCCUGGUGAAGAUGCUGGAAA